GAUGAACGCUGGCGGCGUGCCUAAUACAUGCAAGUCGAGCGAAUGGAUUAAGAGCUUGCUCAUAUGAAGUUAGCGGCGGACGAGUGAGUAACACGUGGGUAACCUGCCCAUAAGACUGGGAUAACUCCGGGAAACCGGGGCUAAUACCGGAGAACAUUUUGAACCGCAUGGUUCGAAAUUGAAAGGCGGCUUCGGCUGUCACUUAUGGAUGGACCCGGGUCGCAUUAGCUAGUUGGUGAGGUAACGGCUCACCAAGGCAACGAUGCGUAGCCGACCUGAGAGGGUGAUCGGCCACACUGGGACUGAGACACGGCCCAGACUCCUACGGGAGGCAGCAGUAGGGAAUCUUCCGCAAUGGACGAAAGUCUGACGGAGCAACGCCGCGUGAGUGAUGAAGGCUUUCGGGUCGUAAAACUCUGUUGUUAGGGAAGAACAAGUGCUAGUUGAAUAAGCUGGCACCUUGACGGUACCUAUCCAGAAAGCCACGGCUAACUACGUGCCAGCCGCCGCGGUAA
rnacentral:rRNA from 1 species